AUUGAACGCUGGCGGCAGGCCUAACACAUGCAAGUCGAACGAGUGGCGGACGGGUGAGUAAUGUCUGGGAAACUGCCUGAUGGAGGGGGAUAACUACUGGAAACGGUAGCUAAUAACGCAUACCAUCGGAUGUGCCCAGAUGGGAUUAGCUAGUAGGUGGGGUAAAGGCUCACCUAGGCGACGAUCCCUAGCUGGUCUGAGAGGAUGACAAGCCAAACUGGAACUGAAACACGUGCAAGACUCCGGCGGGAGGUAGCAGUGGGGAAGAUUGCACAAUGGGCGCAAGCCUGAUGCAGCCAUGCCGCGUGUAUGAAGAAGGUCUUCGGAUUGUAAAGCACUUUAAGUUGGGAGGCGUUACCAACAGAAUAAGCACCGGCUAACUUCGUGACAGCAGCCGCGGUAAUAC
rnacentral:rRNA from 1 species